rnacentral:rRNA from 1 species
CCUACGGGAGGCUGCAGUGGGGAAUAUUGCACAAUGGGGGAAACCCUGAUGCAGCGACGCCGCGUGAGUGAAGAAGUAUUUCGGUACGUAAAGCUCUAUCAGCAGGGAAGAAAAUGACGGUACCUGACUAAGAAGACCCGGCUAACUACGUGCCAGCAGCCGCGGUAAUACGUAGGGGGCAAGCGUUAUCCGGAUUUACUGGGUGUAAAGGGAGCGUAGACGGCAGCGCAGGUCUGGAGUGAAAUCCCAUGGCUUAACCAUGGAACUGCUUUUGAAAUUGUGCAGCUAGAGUGCAGGAGAGGUAAGCGGAAGUCCUAGUGUAGCGGUGAAAUGCGUAGAUAUUAGGAGGAACACCAGUGGCGAAGGCGGCUUACUGGACUGUAACUGACGUUGAGGCUCGAAAGCGUGGGGAGCAAACAGGAUUAGAUACCCGAGUAGUC